UACGUAGGGGGCAAGCGUUGUCCGGAUUUAUUGGGCGUAAAGAGCGUGUAGGCGGCCAGGUAGGUCGGUUGUGAAAACUGGAGGCUCAACCUUCAGAGGUCGACCGAAACCAUCUGGCUAGAGUCCGGGAGAGGAGAGUGGAAUUCCUGGUGUAGAGGUGAAAUUCGUAGAUAUUCGCAAGAACACCAGUGGCGAAGGCGGCUCACUGGCUCGGUACUGACGCUGAGGUGCGAAAGCGUGGGGAGCAAACAGG
rnacentral:rRNA from 1 species